rnacentral:rRNA from 1 species
AUGGGAGUAGUAGGUAGUGCAGACCUUGUGUUGGUUGAACUAAAUGGUUGUAGUCUGACGAUGGUCUCGAGUGCAUUCUUUCGUGGCUGUUCCUGUUUGUUUUCGGCUUGGGUUCGAUGGUUGCAAGAUGGUGAUGCGAACACAACGUUGUUUCGUUUGGUGGCUAAUGGGCGCAGGGCUAAAGAUUUUAUCCCUGCCCGGCUAUUAGCCAGACAUAGCUUGCCGAAGUUUUGCUUUGAAGUUGGCUCGCCUCGUGGCAUUGCCAUGGAGGUUCUCACUGCUCUUGCCAUCAAAGUGGAGGAUCUGAGUGUUGUAAGCUCCCCUCUACAAAAGGCUCUUGAUAUAUGUGGAUGA